rnacentral:tRNA from 1 species
GCCGGCGUAGCUCAGUUGGCAGAGCAGCUGAUUUGUAAUCAGCAGGUCGUCCGUUCGAGCCGGAUCGCCGGCU